GGCGGGAUAGCUCAGUCGGUAGAGCACAGUGCUAAUAACGCUGCGGUCCAGGGGUUCGAGCCCCCGUAUGACCA
rnacentral:tRNA from 1 species